GCAAAUCCUGAGGGGAUCAGUUUAUGGAGAAAGAACUGUUUUCGCUGAGAAGUAAAAGGCAAGUAGUAGUGAGCUGGGUAAAGGUAGCAGGUAGAGAGAGGAAACUAGAUUUCCUGCGCAGGCAAGAGCGUUCACAGAGAAACUGUGUGAAAAAGAACUGUGAUCGGCAGACUCCGUGCAACCAUGUGCUGAAAAUGAAAGGAUUAAACACAGAGUAAUAGAGGAGUGAAAGCGAAGAAGAUGAAGCUGGAGGAUAGCCUUGGUCAGGAUAUAAGCCACAAACGUCAUUAAGAGACAGCCUCCGGCGAGGUAUGGGCAAGCUGGCCUCCCACCUUGGAUCCUCCUGUUGACUACUUUUGAAGUCGCUUCCUGCAGCCUUUGCUGCCAUCCACUGCCGUUUCUAUGGCUGCUACCACCAUUAUCUCCAUCCCUUUAAGAGGCCCAGGUUCUGAUGUGCCCAUGCCCUCAGGACUCCAGGACUAUGACUACCCAGGCAAGCAUGUGCACACCUGCA
rnacentral:lncRNA from 10 species